CCAGUAUUCUUCAUUAAACUACUC
rnacentral:tRNA from 1 species